GUGGCACUAUAGCCAGGUUCCGGCUGUAUCCGCUGCCAUCCUCCUCCAGGCGCGGCCUCGGAGGGCCUCCUGCUCCUCCUGGCGCUAGGAGAGCCCCACUCGGUGUGGCACGGAGACACCGAGGUGGAUUAGAGCCCCACUUGGUGUGGCACGGAGACAUUGAGAUGGACUAGAGCCCCGGGCGGCCGAGAGCGGAAUGCGUUGUUCCCGGUGUCGCAGGGCUGGGUGUCGCAGGCCUGGAGCACCGCAGUGCGGGGCUCGGAGCCCUAGCGUCUCUCGGGCUUGCUGGGGGCCGCUCCAGAGGCCUUGUGAGCGACGAGUUCUGAGCCCGCCCCUGUUGCUUCUAGAGCCUGUGGGGCCGCGACUCAGAGGAGUCAUGAGUCCGGGGUGUCUCCUGGGUGGGCGACGCGAAGAGAGCGUGGUCUCGGGCUUAGCCUUGCUCUGGCCACUCGGGGUUCCCGGGGCUGCAUGCUUGUGCGGCUGAAUGUGAGAUGCUCCUGUCGAGGGGUGGUGCUGGGGGGUUGCAGAAAGCUGCUCGCCAGCUUAGUUCAGGCAGGUGCUGUCAGCGUCCCUUGUUUUGGAGGAGCCAGCCUGAGCCCUACCCCCGACGAAGCGAGUGGAGGCGGCGGUUUAACUGACGU
rnacentral:lncRNA from 1 species